rnacentral:piRNA from 1 species
UGUGCACGGACUGCGUUUUUC